UUAAUUCAUGAUGCUAUGCAGGCUUUGUGAGGUUGGAGGUAACUGCUAUUGAAGAAAUGCUUCAGGCCCUGGUCAACACAACGAAAGACAAUGAACAGAAAUCGCCAUUUGAUGUGAAGAGUGACUGUAAAGGAAGACAAGAAGAAGGCACAAGGAGAUUUGCUCCAAACUAGUUCUUCCCAUAAAAUCUCUGCCCCGGCCAGUUGCAGUGGCUCACGUCUGUAAUCCCA
rnacentral:lncRNA from 10 species